UACGUAGGUUGCGAGCGUUGUUCGGAAUUAUUGGGCGUAAAGGGUUCGUAGGAGGUUCAUUAAGAUUGGUGUGAAAUCCCAAGGCUCAACCUUGGAACUGCAUUGAUUACUGAUGGACUAGAGUAUCGUAGAGGAGAGCGGAAUUCCAGGUGUAGCGGUGGAAUGCGUAGAUAUCUGGAAGAACACCGACAGCGAAGGCAGCUCUCUGGGCGAAAACUGACUCUGAGGAACGAAAGCGUGGGUAGCAAACAGG
rnacentral:rRNA from 1 species